rnacentral:lncRNA from 1 species
CCGGCCUCGCCCCGCCCCGCCGGGCCUCUGAGCCCUGCGGGCGGGCCACCUCUUGCAGGGCCGAGUUGGGGACCGCGCCCGAAGUCCCCACCCCACCAAUUUAGGCUCCCGACCGCCCGCAGGGCUGCCGGCGUCCCCUGGUGGUAGAGCAGGCCCAGACCGCCUGUACCAUCCGAGGUCCCCCAAAGAAUCUGAAGUUACAGCAGUUUCUGCCUUGUCACUAAUCUGUGCUUCAGGAGACGUCCUUGGGUAUGCUUCCCAGGACAAGCAGGCCUGCCCUUCUGAAAAGAGAACCUGGAAACCUCCCAAGGGACCCAGAUCGCACAGCGAGGAAGCAAGGUGUGGGAGUUCUAGAUUUGAGUUCAAAGCCAACUCAGGAGAGAGGCCUAGGCCCUCCUAGACUGGGCAGCAGUUUCCUACUAAAGAAGUUGCUUUGGUCAUGGUGUUUUAUCACAGCAACAGAAAAGCAAAUAAUAUGGCCUGGAAUCCUUGCACUUGGGAGACAGAAGCAGAAGAAUCAGAAGUUCAAGGUCAUCCUUGGAUAGCUACACAGCAAGUUCUAGGCUAGCUUGAGGUACAAGAGACCCUACUUAAAAAAAAAAAAAGACUAGAAAGAUGACUCAGAGAAUAAAGUGUUUGCUACACAAACAUGAGGACCUGAGUUUGGAUCCCCAACACACAUUAAAAAGCCAUGUGUGAUGGUGUUUUCCUAUAACCCCAGUACCAGAGAAUGCGAUAAGAUAGGCAGAUACUUACUGGCUGGCCAAUCUAGACAAAAUAACAAGCUUUUACAUCAGUGAGGGACCCUAUCUCAAAAUGUAAGGUGGAAAGCAAUAGAGUUUGACAUCUGGCAUCAGCCUAUAGCCUCCAUAUAUGCACACAAAAGCAAGAGUGUACAAACAUUCUCGCAACACACACACACACACACACACACAACCACCACCACACUCAAAAUAAAAAACAAACAAAUAAAUAAUAAAAUAAAAUAAUACCUGAAAAUGAUAGCAAUAAACGGCAAAGCACACAAACAGAAAAAUAUAGCUUCUUUGAACCUUGCUUUUCUUACCUGUCUAAUGGGACAGCAAUCCUCACUCCCUGGGUCCCCAGUUCUCCACUAGAGGUGCAUUUGCCUCCAUGGAAAUUUUACAAUGUCA